UACGUAGGGUGCAAGCGUUAAUCGGAAUUACUGGGCGUAAAGUGUGCGCAGGCGGCAGAGCAAGUCGAGUGUGAAAGCCCCGGGCUUAACUUGGGAAUUGCGCUCGAAACUACUUUGCUGGAGUGUAGCAGAGGAAGGUGGAAUUCCACGUGUAGCGGUGAAAUGCGUAGAGAUGUGGAGGAACACCAAUGGCGAAGGCAGCCUUCUGGGCCAACACUGACGCUCAUGCACGAAAGCGUGGGGAGCAAACAGG
rnacentral:rRNA from 1 species